UGCGUAGGCGGGCUAAUAAGUCAGUGGUGAAAUCUUCCGGCUUAACCGGGAAACUGCCAUUGAUACUAUUAGUCUUGAGUUCGGUUGAGGUAGGCGGAAUGUGUAAUGUAGCGGUGAAAUGCUUAGAUAUUACACAGAACACCAAUUGCGUAGGCAGCUUACUAGACCGACACUGACGCUGAGGCACGAAAGCGUGGGGAGCGAACAGGAUUAGAUACCCUGGUAGUCC
rnacentral:rRNA from 1 species